rnacentral:rRNA from 1 species
AAUGAACGUUGGCGGCGUGGAUUAGGCAUGCAAGUCGAGCGAGAAGAGUUUUGAAGCUUGCUUUAGAACUCGGAAAGCGGCGAAAGGGAGAGUAACGCGUAGUUAUGUACCCAGGGGAUCGGAAUAGCCACGGGAAACUGUGGGUAAUGCCGAAUAACAUCUCCGGAUCAAAGGUGUGAUUCCGCCCUUGGAGCAGACUGCGUCCUACUAGCUAGUUGGCGGGGUAAUGGCCCACCAAGGCAACAAUGGGUAGCGGGUGUGAGAGCAUGACCCGUCUCACUGGGACUGAGACACUGCCCAGACACCUACGGGUGGCUGCAGUCGAGAAUCUUCGGCAAUGGGCGAAAGCCUGACCGAGCGACGCCGCGUGCGGGAUGAAGGCCCUCGGGUUGUAAACCGCUGUCGUAAGGGAGGAAGGCUCCGUGAAGAACGGGGUUUGACCUAUCCUAGGAGGAAGUACGGGCUAAGUUCGUGCCAGCCGCCGCAGUAAGAC